AGAAGGAAGGAUACACUGAAGAGGAAGGGGAAGGGAGGGAAAAAUGGGGAGUGAGGUAGGAAAAAUUGAAAGGGAUGGAGAGGAGUGAGAGAGUAAGGAAGGAUACAUUUAAGAGGAGGAAAAGGAAGGGGAAAGGAAGGGGAGUGAGGUAGGAAAAAUUGAAAGGGAUGGGGAGGAGUGAGAGGGUAAGGAAGGAUGCACUGAAGAGGAGGAAGAGGAAGGGAGGGAAGGGGAGUGAGGUAGGAAAAAUUGAAAGGGAUGGGGAGGAAUGAGAGGGUAAGGAAGGAUGCACUGAAGAGGAGGAAGAGGAAGGGGAAGGAAGGGAAAAGAGGGAGGAGAGAAAAACAAAAGAAUCUGAAUAAUAAUUGUGAAACGGCUAAUGCUUUCAACCCCGUCUGUUUGAAAAGUAAGCAACACACACACACACACACACACACACACACACACACACACACACACACACACACACACACACACACA